rnacentral:rRNA from 1 species
GUAGGGAAUAUUGCACAAUGGAGGAAACUCUGAUGCAGCGACGCCGCGUGAGUGAUGAAGGCCUUCGGGUCGUAAAGCUCUGUCGCAGGGGAAUAACACAAUGAAGGUACCCUGUAAGAAAGGAUCGGCUAACUUCGUGCCAGCAGCCGCGGUAAGACGAGGGAUCCUAGCGUUGUUCGGAAUCAUUGGGCGUAAAGCGGAUGUAGGUGGCUAUGUAAGUCAGAUGUGAAAGCCUCGGGCUCAACCCCAGAAGUGCAUUUGAUACUGCGUAGCUUGAGUGUCGGAGAGGUUACUAGAAUUGUUGGUGUAGUGGUGAAAUACGUAGAUAUCAACAGGAAUACCGGAGGCGAAGGCGGGUAACUGGCCGAACACUGACACUGAGAUCCGAAAGCGUGGGGAUCAAACAGGAUUAGAAACCCUGGUAGUCC